rnacentral:tRNA from 1 species
UAGAUGGAUGCUUGGUGGUUAAAGCGCUUAGCUGUUAACUAAGUUUUUGUAGGAUCGAGGCCUGCCCGUCUAG